rnacentral:rRNA from 1 species
UACGAAGGGGGCAAGCGUUGUCCGGAUUUAUUGGGCGUAAAGAGCGUGUAGGCGGCUUUGCAAGUCCGUUGUGAAAACUCGAGGCUCAACCUCGAGACGCCGGUGGAAACUGCAAAGCUAGAGUCCGGAAGAGGAGAGUGGAAUUCCUGGUGUAGCGGUGAAAUGCGCAGAUAUCAGGAAGAACACCCGUGGCGAAGGCGGCUCUCUGGGACGGUACUGACGCUGAGACGCGAAAGCGUGGGGAGCGAACAGG